UACGUAGGUGGCAAGCGUUAUUCGGAAUUACUGGGCGUAAAGGGCGCGUAGGCUGUGCUGUAAGUCAGGCGUGAAAGCCCCGGGCUCAACCUGGGAAUUGCGCUUGAUACUGCGGCGCUGGAAGGUGGGAGAGGAUGGCGGAAUUCCCAGUGUAGAGGUGAAAUUCGUAGAUAUUGGGAAGAACACCGGUGGCGAAGGCGGCCAUCUGGCCCAUUUUUGACGCUGAGGCGCGAAAGCGUGGGGAGCAAACAGG
rnacentral:rRNA from 1 species